rnacentral:rRNA from 1 species
CCUACGUGCGGCAGCAGUGGGGAAUAUUGCACAAUGGGGGGAACCCUGAUGCAGCAACGCCGCGUGGGUGAAGAAGUACUCCGGUAUGUAAAGCCCUGUCAGCAGGGAAGAAAAUGACUGUACCUGACCAAGAAGCCCCGGCUAACUACGUGCCAGCAGCCGCGGUACUACGUAGGGGGCCAGCGUUAUCCGGAUUUACUGGGUGUAAAGGGAGCGUAGACGGCAAGGAAGGUCUGGAGUGAAAGCCCGGGGCCCAACCACGGGACUGCUUUGGAAACUGUGUUGCGGGAGGGCAGGAGGGGUAAGCGGAAUGCGUAGUGUAGCGGUGAAAUGCGUAGAUAUUAGGAGGAACACCGAUGGCGAAGGCGGCUUACUGGACUGUAACUGACGUUGAGGCACGAAGGCGUGGGGAGCAAACAGGAUUAGAUACCCUGGUAGUC